UGAACGCUGGCGGCAUGGCUAAAGCAUGCAAGUCGAACGCGAAAUCUCGAUUUAUCGGGAGAGUAGAGUGGCGAAAGGGCGAGUAAUGAAUUCCUAACGUACCCCAGAGUCGGGGAUAGCCCGGGGAAACCCGGAUUAACACCUGAUGAUCCCGUUCGGUCUCGUGACCAUUCGGGCAAAGUUUACGCUCUGGGAUCGGGGAAUUUCCUAUCAGGUUGUUGGUGAGGUAAAGGCUCACCAAGCCAAAGACGGGUAGCGGGUGUGAGAGCAUGACCCGCCGCAUCGGGACUGAGACACUGCCCGGACUCCUACGGGAGGCUGCAGCAACGAAUAUUGGACAAUGAGCGCAAGCUUGAUCCAGCGAUGCCGCGUGUGGGAUGAAUCUUUUCGGAGUGUAAACCACUGUCAGGGGCUAGAAACACAAUGAUCAGCCCCAGAGGAAGGGCCGGCUAACUUC
rnacentral:rRNA from 1 species